rnacentral:rRNA from 1 species
GCAGAUUGGGCUGGUAGCCCAGAUGACAGGCGAUCCACGGGGGGUUAUGCAGUAUUCUUUGGCUCUAAUUUGAUCGCCUGGAGUGCUUGGAAACAGGCUACUGUGUCACGUAGCAGUACUGAAGCUGAGUACAAGGCUGUGGCUAAUGCUACUGCAGAGAUUAUUUGGGUGCAGUCUUUGCUUCAGGAGUUGGGUUUGUCUCAACCACAGCCUCCUAUUCUUUGGUGUGAUAACAUCGGUGCUACAUACCUUUCUGCAAAUCCAGUAUUUCAUGCCCGAACGAAACACAUUGAAGUUGACUAUCACUUUGUACGGGAACGUGUAUCACAGAAGCAACUCCAGAUCAAGUUUAUCUCGUCUAAGGAUCAACUUGCAGACAUCUUCACUAAGCCUUUACCACUGCCAUAG